UAUCCCGUUUUAGUACCAUUCAUUCAUCCCACCACGAAUGACUGGCUAUGCGAAUGGGAGACAGAAUAUCCUGUCAUUGUCUGAAGGAGGGACCGGCGUCAUCCGUUUCUCUUACAUGAAUUGACAGCACAUGAGCUA